AGUGAACGCUGGCGGUAGGCCUAACACAUGCAAGUCGAACGGCAGCACAGUAAGAGCUUGCUCUUACGGGUGGCGAGUGGCGGACGGGUGAGGAAUACAUCGGAAUCUACUUUUUCGUGGGGGAUAACGUAGGAAAACUUACGCUAAUACCGCAUACGACCUACGGGUGAAAGCAGGGGAGCUUCGGACCUUGCGCGAUUGAAUGAGCCGAUGUCGGGUUAGCUAGAUGGCGGGGUAAAGGCCGACCAAGGCGACGAUCCGAAGCUGAUCUGAGAGGAUGCUAAGCCACACUGGAAUUGAGACACUGUCCAGCCUACUACGAGAGGAACUCGUGGGGAAUAUUGGACAAUGGGCGCGAACCUGAUCCAACAAUACCGCGUGGGUGAAGAAGGCCUUCGGGUUGUAAAGCCCUUUUGUUGGGAAAGAAAAGCAGCAGGUUAAUACCCCGCUGUUCUGACGGUACCCAAAGAAUCAGCACCGGCUAACUUCGUG
rnacentral:rRNA from 1 species